ensembl:lncRNA
GAAGCGGCCCUCCUUUUCUCUGUGAUUCAGCAAAGUGCACAUGAGCAGAAAAAUACUUUAAAAGUGCAUUUAAGGGCAGGAGAUAACACUCCAGGAAGGAGGCACAUGACAUUCUGAAGUUAUUCCCUGGGAACCUCUGAGACAGCCUGAGGCCAGGCAGCCUUCAGAAGAACUCGCAACCAUUGAUGCUCAUGCUACUGAAGAAUUCUUUAUUGUAUGAGGCCAAAUUAAAUACUUUAUCUCAGGCCUGAAAGAGCUUGGGAGACUUCAGAUAUAUCUUUAGAAAACUCCAGAGAUCCUCUGAAGCUGUGAGACUUAAGACUUCUGUGAUUCAGUUGUACUCAAACUGUGUAUCAACAUCCAAUGAAUUUUUGGUCAAGUAUGUACAUGAAAACAAACAAACACUGAAGGAGCGUUUACUUUAGCAGUGUGGUUAUGAUUCUCUAUUUACACUGCACCGUUUUCAGAAAUCAAAUAUAGAAUUUGCUUUUCAGUUCACAGAUUUUGUGGAUCAAUUUUCUGUUGAUCCUUGUUUUUAUAUUUCAGUGAACCUUUCAGUCCAGGUUUAAAAGCAAAACUCUGUCCAACCUAUUGUUUGUGGCAAAAGCUUGAUUGUCUCAUGUGCAGACUGCCACGGAGGAAAAAAAAGAGAGAAAACAGAACCAGGGCAGAGAAUGGGUAACAGUGAUUCUUCUAACAAGCAUUGGUUACUAUUAGUUCUUGUUAGUCAUUGUUGCAGUAGGAAGGUCUUGUAGAGCAUUGCUACUUAUCUUGAGAAAUCUCAUGAACUCACUCGGCAGAGGAGUUGUAACAUUUACAGGGUGUACAGCACUGACCAGUGAUAGAUGGUCAGACAAGGCUUUGCUAAGUCAGUCAUCUCCUGCUUUCAAUAUCAUUUCCAUCAGCAAUUUGAAAUAUAAGCUAUGUUCUAACUAGUUAUCAGCAUUGUGUUUGGGUUUGUUUGUUUGUUUUGUUUCGAGUUCAAUCACGAACCUCUUUCCUUGUGCUGCUAAGUCAAGAAAAGCUUGGACUGAGUAAGAACAGAAGCAGCAUUCAACACACAUUGCAUUACUGAAAGAGACAUAAUAAUAAAAAUGUUUUAUCAACAGAUAACUACACUAAAUAGCACAAGACAUAGAACUCACAUCCUGAGACUACAAUUAUACAAAUACUGGCACAUUCAAAUUGCAUAAGCUGCCAGAAAACGUCCUAAGGAGAGGUUCAACACCUAGAAGAAAAUCCAUUCCUAAAAACUGUAUCCAUCUCCUAUCAUAUUACUGUAUCUAAUCUGGGAUUCUAGGGGAGAUGAGAGUUUUCAUAGCUGUCUUCUAGGAUGACUAAAUGCAAUAAAUAUCUUUCAGAGUACAACUUGGUAUUUCAGUCACAGGAUUUACUGUAGUUGGUUUUACUGUCAAGGUAUAUUUGUCAGGCAUUUAUUCUUCCUCUGCCCAUCACUGUUAAAAAGAUUGUGAGUAG